GUGGCCUUUGAUCACUUCGAUGAAAUGCCUAAUCAGGUGAUGUCACAGAAUUUGGCGCGCUAUGAUGGCCGUCAUUCUUUUACCAGGUGAUUUAGCGCUUGGCUGCUGAUGGAUUUGGCAGUUGGCGGCUGCUUCACUUCUGGUUGAACUGGGCCUACCUGGGGGUAUGUGCGAUGGUUGCGUAUGGCAAGGUACCGCAGUCACCCACGCGUGAGCCCUCCGGCGGGUAGGCUGUGAGCUGGAGGAGUGCUGACCAGAAGCCAAAGAAGAAGAAGAAACAAAUCAGGUCAAGUGUGCCUCCGAGACAAUCAAGUCGGACUGCGACACCACCGCUGUAAGGGAAAUGAGAGGUUAUUCAUCUCGAUGAGGCCCGCUUCCUCAACACGGACAAGGCUGGACCUUCAGCGACAUUGGAUGCAGCCCCUCUGUCUCUUACCUCCCCGUCCAAAAGACAACGAGAUCAUCGUCUUCUCCACAAUGAGGACGAUGCGGUCGAGUGUUUUCUGAAAUGCUACAGUUAGCUACUGAUUGGUUCUAUACUCAGUACAAUAAGUAUUUUCUUUUCUGUAUUUUCUGUUGCUAUGUAUGGCUGUGACCGAUGUACUAAAGACUACCUUCAUCUUACUGUGUUUCUCUGUAGUCACUACAGCUAAUAGUAAGUGAUGGUCUAUAUAUGUUCAGUUACUUCUGAAAUUUUGAAGAUAGAAAUUUCAGAAGA